AUGGGGAGAGAUGAGACCUGCCCAUCCACCCAGGCCUGCCGGCUCCAAGCUCGAGGGGGAGGGUCCAGGCCUUGUGCCACCACACUGCUCUGGGCCCGGGGCACAGGGGAUGCUCGGGAGCACGAGAACCCCGUAGCUUCCCCACUGUCCUCGGAACGGAAACUUAUCUGCGUCAUUCUUUACUCUGACACCAGCCGUAGACGGGACCUCGAGUGGCCGCCCCCUGGCCUGGCUGCUGACCAACCCACAUGGCCAGGCCGGGGCUGCGGGUCCCAGGAGGCCGGGCUCAGCAGAGCAAGCCUGUCCUCCCCUGGGCCACCUGCCACCGGGGGUGAAGGCCCAGCGCUCAGGGCUGCGGGGGACGCACUCUACCUGCAGGGCCUCAGCUUCCUCACCCCUAGCGGGAAACACCAGGACCCCCAUGAGAAGACCCCCCGGGCCUGGCCACGUGUGGUCCAGGGGAGGGUGCUGUGGCCCCUGCCCAGCACUAACCGGAGCAGGCGCCAGGCGGGCCCAGCCGCUGGUCCCUCUGGGCCCUGACCCCACCGCGGGGCCCUCCCGAGUCUGAAUCCUGCUCGCGGGACUCUGCAGACCCUCCCCUGGAGACACAGCCGCGGGUCCCCAUCCCCACGGGCCCUGGGAGCACAACGCGGCUUCCCCAGACCCUGCCUCAGCUGCCUUCUCCCCAAGUCUGGAGGAGAUGCCCCCCCAGGCCCCCAGCCUUCCGGGGCCCCGAGCCCCGCACGCCGCCUCGUGGGCCGGGAUCCAGCCACACCAGCUAGCGGCCAGCAGCUCACGGGCCACGUGGCCACGCAGCGCGCUGCCGAGACCGAGAGAUCUCUGUGGGCACACGGGGGAGAGGAUGCCCGGUCACUCCCGGUCCCGACCUCCCCUGACCAGCUAAGGGCCCCGAGGGGCCACUGCCGUCUGAGCCCGUGUCUCUGCCAGAGACUCACGAGGCCCCUCCCCUGGUGCCGCCAGGACGUCCUACCACGCGGAGAACAGAGAAGAGAAGCGGGGCCACCUCCACAAAUGCCUCCCAGCCCUGCCCGGUCGGCCCCGGCACUCUGCCCGCCUCUCCCCCAUCCGCUGUCCCACCCUCGGGCCUCCAGCGUCCC
rnacentral:lncRNA from 1 species